GGCGCUAGAUGUAGGGACCUUUCCACGGUUUCUGUGUCGUAGCUAACGCAUUAAGCGCCCCGCCUGGGGAGUACGGCCGCAAGGCUAAAACUCAAAGGAAUUGACGGGGGCCCGCACAAGCGGCGGAGCAUGCGGAUUAAUUCGAUGCAACGCGAAGAACCUUACCAAGGCUUGACAUACACCGGAAACGGCCAGAGAUGGUCGCCCCCUUGUGGUCGGUGUACAGGUGGUGCAUGGUUGUCGUCAGCUCGUGUCGUGAGAUGUUGGGUUAAGUCCCGCAACGAGCGCAACCCUCGUUCUAUGUUGCCAGCGGGUUAUGCCGGGGACUCAUAGGAGACUGCCGGGGUCAACUCGGAGGAAGGUGGGGAUGACGUCAAAUCAUCAUGCCCCUUAUGUCUUGGGCUUCACGCAUGCUACAAUGGCCGGUACAAAGGGCUGCGAUACCGUAAGGUGGAGCGAAUCCCAAAAAGCCGGUCUCAGUUCGGAUUGAGGUCUGCAACUCGACCUCAUGAAGUCGGAGUCGCUAGUAAUCGCAGAUCAGCAACGCUGCGGUGAAUACGUUCCCGGGCCUUGUACACACCGCCCGUCAAGUCAUGAAAGUCGGUAACACCCGAAGCCGGUGGCCUAACCCUUGUGGAAGGAGCCGUCGAAGGUGGGA
rnacentral:rRNA from 1 species